rnacentral:lncRNA from 1 species
GGAGAUUGUAAACUUUGUGAGCGAGGCGGUGGAAAGUGAGGAAUGCUUCCGAGAGAAGGACGAAGAGGAACCGCUGGCGGAGGAGUUAAUUCGUAUUGCCUGAUUCACGUUGUUUUGAGUGAAAGCGAUUUCGGGCAGGAAAAUAGGAAUCCGCCGUCGAAGAAGGCGAAGUAAACUAAAGGGGAGAGUUGGUCUUGCACUUUUGCAGGGGGAUGUUAAGGUGAUUUGAAAAGAAAAGGAGAUCGAGAAAUUAUCUGAAGAGUCUUCUGAAAAGAAAGAAAGAGCCGGUCCGGAAAAAGACUCUUGCAGACACACAAGCGAAAAGAAAGGAAAAUCGUUAUGCCUGCCUAAAUAUACGAAUUAUCGUCUACAUAAUCGGAACAAUUUUCACCCCAAAAAGAUGAACGCACUUGAGCGAAAUGGAAAAGAACCCGUUCCAGCAAUUGAUCCUGAUUACUCUGUCUAUUAUGAUGAUGACA